GACGAACGCUGGCGGCGUGCUUAACACAUGCAAGUCGAACGGAAAGGCCCUGCUUUUGUGGGGUGCUCGAGUGGCGAACGGGUGAGUAACACGUGAGUAACCUGCCCUUGACUUUGGGAUAACUUCAGGAAACUGGGGCUAAUACCGGAUAGGAGCUCCUGCUGCACGGUGGGGGUUGGAAAGUUUCGGCGGUUGGGGAUGGACUCGCGGCUUAUCAGCUUGUUGGUGGGGUAGUGGCUUACCAAGGCUUUGACGGGUAGCCGGCCUGAGAGGGUGACCGGCCACAUUGGGACUGAGAUACGGCCCAGACUCCUACGGGAGGCAGCAGUGGGGAAUAUUGCACAAUGGGCGGAAGCCUGAUGCAGCAACGCCGCGUGCGGGAUGACGGCCUUCGGGUUGUAAACCGCUUUCGCCUGUGACGAAGCGUGAGUGACGGUAAUGGGUAAAGAAGCACCGGCUAACUACGUGCCAGCAGCCGCGGUGAUACGUAGGGUGCGAGCGUUGUCCGGAUUUAUUGGGCGUAAAGGGCUCGUAGGUGGUUGAUCGCGUCGGAAGUGUAAUCUUGGGGCUUAACCCCUGAGCGUGCUUUCGAUACGGGUUGACUUGAGGAAAGGUAGGGAGAAAUGGGAAUUCCUGUUGGAGCGGUGGAAAUGCGCAGAUAUCAGGAGGAACACCAGUGGCGAAGGCGGGUCUCUGGGCCUUUCCUGACGCUGAGGAGCGAAAGCGUGGGGAGCGAACAGGCUUAGAUACCCUGGUAGUCCACGCUGUAAACGGUGGGUACUAGGUGUGGGGUCCAUUCCACGGGUUCCGUGCCGUAGCUAACGCUUUAAGUACCCGCCUGGGGAGUACGGCCGCAAGGCUAAAACUCAAAGGAAUUGACGGGGCCCCGCACAAGCGGCGGAGCAUGCGGAUUAAUUCGAUGCAACGCGUAGAACCUUACCUGGGUUUGACAUGGAUCGGGAGUGCUCAGAGAUGGGUGUGCCUCUUUUGGGGUCGGUUCACAGGCGGUGCAUGCCUGUCGUCAGCUCGUGUCGUGAGAUGUUGGGUUAAGUCCCGCAACGAGCGCAACCCUUGUUCACUGUUGCCAGCACGUUAUGGUGGGGACUCAGUGGAGACCGCCGGGGUCAACUCGGAGGAAGGUGGGGAUGACGUCAAGUCCUCAUGCCCCUUAUGUCCAGGGCUUCACGCAUGCUACAAUGGCUGGUACAGAGAGUGGCGAGCCUGUGAGGGUGAGCGAAUCUCGGAAAGCCGGUCUCAGUUCGGAUUGGGGUCUGCAACUCGACCUCAUGAAGUCGGAGUCGCUAGUAAUCGCAGAUCAGCAACGCUGCGGUGAAUACGUUCCCGGG
rnacentral:rRNA from 1 species